UUUUUUUUUUUUUUUUUUGUCUCUUUUUGCUAUUUCUUGGGCUGCUCCCAUGGCAUAUGGAGGUUCCCAGGCUAGGGGUCGAAUCUGUAGCGUAGCCACAGGCCUACGCCAGAGCCACAGCAACGCGGGAUCCGAGCCGCGCCUCCAACCUACACCACAGCUCACCGCAACUCCGAAUCGUUAACCCACUGAGCAAGGGCAUGGUUCCUAGUCGGAUUCGUUAACCAUUGCGCCAAGACGGGAACUCCAGAAUUCUUGUUCUGUAGAAGCAUUUUCCUACACCAAUGCAAUGGCCAAUACCUGAAGUCCCUCGAGCCCCCUAGUUAUUUUUUUAUUCCAUUUCCUUCCCACUGCCAGUCACCAUCUAAGAGAUCUUUCAGCAGUACUUACAAUGUCGUUCUAAUCCAUGUAACUUCCCCAGAAAUAUACUGUAGAUUGAGAGACUUAAGGAAGUAAAAUAUGAACAAUUCUGGGCCAGGACUUUACAAUAGUCAUCAGUGGUUUUCAUGUUGUGGAAUGACUACAUGGCUUAAAUUGCCAGGACACUCAACCCAAGGUGUAAAACCCUUAUCAACAAUUCAAGGACUCUAAUGUGAUUGUUAGUAGAAGAUAAUGAGCAAAGAAAAACACCCUUGGCAAAAUAAAUUAAAACCUCCAAGGACUGAUCCUAGCUUGUGAUUUUGCCUGAGGCCAGUUUUGUUUUAAUGCUACUCUAGAUGUAUUAGGAAAUAGGUCCUUGUUUUAUCCCUUACUAUGGGAAUAAUUAUUAAUGGAAAGGCAAAUAUUAAAUAAACAAUGCAGUUAACCUGUGAAUGUUUUCCUGGAGUGAUUUCUGUUAUUUUUCUAGGCAAUGUAAACCAGUGAGAAUAAAAGACAAACCUGAAAGCAGAAGAGUGUCUUCUAUUUUUGUGUUCAUUUAUACUUCUAUUUUAUCUCUAGUUUUUUUGUUUUGUUUUGUUUUUUUGGUCAUUGGGAAUUUAAGUUAAUCUUCAAUUCUGAAAUGUAAAUUAAGAAGAUUAGAUUAGAUGUUCUCUUAUUUCACAACUCCCUUUCCUGACUUUUUUGUCUGAUAUUCUAUUUUUACUUACAUGACAAAGAAAAAGGUAAUGGCAUGACAAAAUGUAGAGGUGCUUAUAGAGAACAGUAUAUUUAAAUGUGUACAUUUAAGAGCAUAUUCUUUCUACAAAUAUGUAAAUCAAUGUCUCUUUAAGUGUUCUCAGUUAAAAACAUUUCAAUUCCACCUCUCCUCAACCCUAAACCUAACAGAGAACUAUAAUCCUGUAUUCCUCUAACCCUGUAAAAUAAAAUAUUCAAAGUUCAUUAGGUUAUAAAAGAACAGAGAAUGUUACACUUAUAUGGAUCUAAUCUGCCCCUGCAAGUGGAUUUAGAAAUAUUCCUUCUAUUUCUAGUUCUUUUACAAAAUUUGAUGAGAAUAUGAAUCCUGCUGUUUGGAAAGGUACACAUACCUACAGAAUAAACAAUGUGGCAUGUGACUUCAUGGGGUGAGAGGGAUCCAUGCCCCAUGGUAAUGAGAAGAUAGGCAAUUUUGAAUUCAUAUUUAGCAUUUGUUAUUUCUAAUUAUUAUGAUUUUUUUUUUAAUGGCUGCAUGCAUGGGAUAUGGAUAUUCCAGGCCAGGGAUUGAUCCUGAGCCAUAGCUGUGACCUAUGCCAUAGGCUAUAGUACUGCUGGAUCCUUUAACCCAUUGCAUGGGGCCAGGGAUCAUACCUGCACCUCUGCAUCAACCCAAGCCACUGCAGUUGGAUUCUUAACCCAUGGUGCUACAGAGGGAACUCCUAGUCAUUCAUUGUUUAAUACAACCUCAAAUGUCUAUUGUUAAUAGAAUUUCUUCUUAGUUUGGCUAAUUAAUUUCUAACUUUCAGAUAACAAAAUCACAUACCAACAUACCAGGGAAAUAGAGGUUAAUAAUUAUGCUAUCCUAUAAAGCAAUAAAGAAUACUCUUUGAAAAAUAAUUGAUUCAAUUAUAUAUCAGCAAGAAAUUAAAAAUAAUUAAUUUGCAUUAGUGAAGUUAUUUAUGAUAUGUGUAUCUAUUUAUCAUAUUAAGAAAUGUUUCCUGUUGCUCUAUUCCUUCAAGUUGAAGCAACUAAAAGUCAUCACAUAAUUAAACCUCCUUUAUUUCUUCUGAAAAUGUUUUUACACACUAAAUUUCAACUAAAUAAUUGAAAAUAAUUUUUCAUACAUUGUUAAGAAAUAUUUAGUUAUAACACCCAAGGAUUUUUUUUGGAAAUAGCAACUAUUAGUAUGCUAAUCAGUUGAGAUUUAAAUUAAUUGUAGAACUUUGGAAAAUGCCAAGUUUCCUGUAUUUAUAGAUAUGUUGGGGAAAAUAAUUUUACACUUCAAGUUAUGUAUUAUGCAUACUGGUGAGAAUGAGGACUUCUGGUUACUAUGGAA
rnacentral:lncRNA from 1 species